UAGCGACAGGCUUAACACAUGCAAGUCGAGGGGCAGCACAGGUAGCAAUACCGGGUGGCGACCGGCGCACGGGUGAGUAACGCGUAUGCAACUUACCUAUCAGAGGGGGAUAACCCGGCGAAAGUCGGACUAAUACCGCAUGAAGCAGGGGCCCCGCAUGGGGAUAUUUGCUAAAGAUUCAUCGCUGAUAGAUAGGCAUGCGUUCCAUUAGGCAGUUGGCGGGGUAACGGCCCACCAAACCGACGAUGGAUAGGGGUUCUGAGAGGAAGGUCCCCCACAUUGGUACUGAGACACGGACCAAACUCCUACGGGAGGCAGCAGUGAGGAAUAUUGGUCAAUGGCCGAGAGGCUGAACCAGCCAAGUCGCGUGAGGGAUGAAGGUUCUAUGGAUCGUAAACCUCUUUUAUAAGGGAAUAAAGUGCGGGACGUGUCCCGUUUUGUAUGUACCUUAUGAAUAAGGAUCGGCUAACUCCGUGCCAGCAGCCGCGGUAAUACGGAGGAUCCGAGCGUUAUCCGGAUUUAUUGGGUUUAAAGGGUGCGUAGGCGGCCUUUUAAGUCAGCGGUGAAAGUCUGUGGCUCAACCAUAGAAUUGCCGUUGAAACUGGGGGGCUUGAGUAUGUUUGAGGCAGGCGGAAUGCGUGGUGUAGCGGUGAAAUGCAUAGAUAUCACGCAGAACCCCGAUUGCGAAGGCAGCCUGCCAAGCCAUUACUGACGCUGAUGCACGAAAGCGUGGGGAUCAAACAGGAUUAGAUACCCUGGUAGUCCACGCAGUAAACGAUGAUCACUAGCUGUUUGCGAUACACUGUAAGCGGCACAGCGAAAGCGUUAAGUGAUCCACCUGGGGAGUACGCCGGCAACGGUGAAACUCAAAGGAAUUGACGGGGGCCCGCACAAGCGGAGGAACAUGUGGUUUAAUUCGAUGAUACGCGAGGAACCUUACCCGGGUUUGAACGCAUUCGGACCGAGGUGGAAACACCUUUUCUAGCAAUAGCCGUUUGCGAGGUGCUGCAUGGUUGUCGUCAGCUCGUGCCGUGAGGUGUCGGCUUAAGUGCCAUAACGAGCGCAACCCUUGCCACUAGUUACUAACAGGUAAAGCUGAGGACUCUGGUGGGACUGCCAGCGUAAGCUGCGAGGAAGGCGGGGAUGACGUCAAAUCAGCACGGCCCUUACAUCCGGGGCGACACACGUGUUACAAUGGCGUGGACAAAGGGAAGCCACCUGGCGACAGGGAGCGAAUCCCCAAACCACGUCUCAGUUCGGAUCGGAGUCUGCAACCCGACUCCGUGAAGCUGGAUUCGCUAGUAAUCGGGCAUCAGCCAUGGCGCGGUGAAUACGUUCCCGGGCCUUGUACACACCGCCCGUCAAGCCAUGGGAGCCGGGGGUACAA
rnacentral:rRNA from 1 species